ACUUACUAGCCAUGUGAACUUGGGCAAGUGACCUAAUCCUCUGCAUUUCAUCUCUAAAUUGGGGAGAAUAGAAGCAUCUACUUCAUGUAGUAGCCAGGAUUAGAAGAGGAACCCUGGAAUCACAGACUGUCAUGACUUGUCUAAUGUGCUUUCUGGCACAUGCUUUUUACAUGCUGCACCAAUACUGGGUCUAGCUGCAGCUUGGCUGGGUCGCAGAGGCUGAAGAGGGAGCUAAGCCUGGAGAGCUGGGUUAAGUCAGACAGACCCAAAAUCUCUUACACUGAGUCUCAACUUAUUGUCCCUUGUGACUCCAAGGUCAACUUCCCUUCCCUGUUGGCUGAGGAUCCAGGUUCUUGGAGCCCCACUGUAGAAAGACUGCUGAUAUCCCAGAAUUCCAAGGUGGAUGUGCAGAUGAGAUUUCCAGUGACACCCAGCAGACUUCACGCAGAAGGUGGCAUAGUGUAGAGACGGGGCAUUCAUGCUUUACCCUUAGAGAGGCGUUGCUUUGAAUCUGCAUCUGCCCCUUCUUUUGCCUUUGCCCCUACAGAUUCAGGACCACGGCCAGCACCCACACUGCCUUCCGUAAACACUGAGCUAAAUAAACCUAGAGCCUUGGUGAUGAGAUCAGCACUGCCUUUGUAAGUUGGUUUUCUCAACAAACAUCAACUGAACAUCUACUAAACGUAAGAGCACUCUGGCUGUCAACUGAAAACAGCAGCAGCAGCAGCAGCAGCAGCAACACCACCACCAACAACAACGACAACUGUUGCAUAUAUAACUGAAGAUCCACAGAGUCCCUCUUUCCAGUGUUAGUUGCUACAAGGAGUGAGAGAAUGAAGAUCUGACCUCAAGGAAUACAAGAGUUUUGUUCAAAGUUCCAAGACUAAGCUAUUAGAAGGGAGGGAGGGCCUGGUGCCAUGUCAUCUCUGACCAAGAGAAUUGGUAGAAUAGAAAUAAUCUAUUUCUCACGUGGUCUAGGACUUGACAAUUUACAUAGCAGUUUUAUAUCCUCUACUUCAUUUGACAUGCUCCCAUCACCCUGUGAAGCAUGUGUCAUUGUUACCACUCACUUUCCAGAUAAGGAGAGAUGGGGAGGCUCAGGGAGGUGAAUGGAUUUGCCUGAGGCCACUGGUCAGUGACUGAGCUGGGAUAGGAAUUACUUUCUCUGGUCUCUUGAUCUCACCUCUUUGUCUCACUCUUUCUGCUGCAUCUCAGUUGCUUCUGCGUCUGGCCAGACCCAAAAACAAAUCAUGUAAUUGAGUUGGAAUGUGGGUGCUGGGGCCCGGGAGACAAUGUUUUCUGCUUUUCAAUCUGUUCUUAAUUUAUUAAAGUGAUGAAAUAAGGAA